AGGGGCCGGGGCCGGGGCGGGGGCGAGCGGGACGCAGGAGGUGUGUGCGAGUGACGGCGGCGUGGCCCUAUCGGCGCGAGGGAAGGGGGCUGCGAGGCGCAAGGGGGCGGGCCCGCGGCCGGGGGUGGACAAUGGGGGCGCGGGGAGGUGGUGGUAGGAAAAUGGCAGCGGCCGGAGGCACCGUGGGGCGCUCGGCGACCGCCGCUCCGGCGCGGUUCCCGCUCUCGGCGUGGUUGUUGGCCACGGCGCUGAGCGCGGGUCGAGUGUGUGAUCACCAGGUAAAUGAUGUCCUCAGGAUAGAACAAGAAAUCCAUGGCCUAGAUUGGAAGGGAGCUGAGGCUUUCUUGGCUGCUGUUUCUCAUGCUGGUCCUUCAUUUCUGGUUAAAUGUAUUGACCUGAGAAGUAAAUCUCAGCAUAAACUAUUCUGAUGACUUUUAGAAGAAUCAUGAGCAGCUUUGCCUAAUGUGGAGGAGACUAUUGGAAAACCUGACUUAGUAGCAUGGGAGCAGAGGGUGACACUAGAGCUUAGUGACUCUGAAGAUUUGUCUUUCAGUUCUGACAAAAGUAGAUGCACAGAGAUAUACAGGGAUACAUAGAUGUUAUGGACAGCUUUACCACAGCCUACCUAAGACUUCUCAGUGAAACUGAUUUCCUUUCACUUGACGUGACAAAAUGCUGCUUAUUCUCAUCCUUGAGUCAGGCAGAGCUUAGCUGAAUGUGCAAAGAAGCUAGCACAAAGACUGUUGUGCUAGCAGUUUGCUCUUCAGAAUUUGUCUCUACUUGGGGGAAGAACAGUCUCAGCAUUGAGGAGGCAGGAGGAGGAAGGUGUUUGUAGACUAGAUGUCAACAGUUUUUCUUUCUGCUGGUUUUGGCUAGGGCAAACAAUGUUACCAGACCCUCUGUGUUGGAGGGUGACUUCUGCGGAGCCUGCUUAACCGGUGACAUCAAGCUCUCAGAGGUACUGCAGCUGACGAGGUGGCAGAGCAGAGUUUGCAGGACAACGUUCAAGAUGCAUAAACAAAAAAAAAGGAACAAAAACAAAAAACGAGUGAUGGCAGGAUGAAAGUGGCAGAUUAUGCCAAAGUAAAAGUGAACAUAAUGGAUUCUGGAAUAAACACACAUAUUCUCCAUCUCUCCC
rnacentral:lncRNA from 1 species